rnacentral:rRNA from 1 species
GCAAGUCGAACGAGAAAGUACCUUCGGGUGCGAGUAAAGUGGCGCACGGGUGAGUAACACGUGGAUAUCUACCUAAUGGUGGGGGACAACAUCCCGAAAGGGGUGCUAAUACCGCAUAAGUCGGCUUCGGCCGGGAAAGGUGGCUUCGGCUAUCGCCAUUGGAUGAGUCCGCGCCCCAUCAGCUUGUUGGUAGGGUAAUGGCCUACCAAGGCUACGACGGGUAGCUGGUCUGAGAGGAUGAUC